rnacentral:rRNA from 1 species
AUGCGACCCCAGGUCAAGCGGG